UAAUACGUAGGGGGCAAGCGUUGUCCGGAUUUACUGGGCGUAAAGAGCGCGUAGGUGGAGCGUUAAGCGUGGCCUGAAAGCCCCCGGCUCAACCGGGGAAGGUGGCUGCGUACUGGCGCUCUUGAGGGCGAUAGAGGCGGGUGGAAUUCCGGGUGUAGCGGUGAAAUGCGUAGAGAUCCGGAGGAACACCGGUGGCGAAGGCGGCCCGCUGGGUCGACCCUGACACUGAGGCGCGAAAGCGUGGGGAGCGAACGGGAUUAGAUACCCCGGUAGUCCACGCCGUAAACGAUGGUCACUAGGUGUGUGUGGUAUCGACCCCGCACGUGCCGCAGCUAACGCAAUAAGUGACCCGCCUGGGGAGUACGGCCGCAAGGUUG
rnacentral:rRNA from 1 species